rnacentral:rRNA from 1 species
AUUGAACGCUAGCGGCAGGCCUAACACAUGCAAGUCGAGCGGCAGCGGGAAAGUAGCUUGCUACUUUUGCCGGCGAGCGGCGGACGGGUGAGUAAUGCCUGGGAAAUUGCCCAGUCGAGGGGGAUAACAGUUGGAAACGACUGCUAAUACCGCAUACGCCCUACGGGGGAAAGCAGGGGACCUUCGGGCCUUCCGCGUUUGGAUAUGCCCGGGUGGGAUUAGAUAGUUGGUGAGGUAAUGGCUCACCAAGGCGACGAUCCAUAGUUGGUCUGAGAGGAGGAUCAGCCACACUGGAAAUGAGACGCGGUCCAGACUCCUACGGGAGGCAGCGGUGGGGAAUAUUGCACAAUGGGGGAAACCCUGAUGCAGCCAUGCCGCGUGUGUGAAGAAGGCCUUCGGGUUGUAAAGCACUUUCAGCGAGGAGGAAAGGUUGAUGCCUAAUACGUAUCAACUGUGACGUUACUCGCAGAAGAAGCACCGGCUAACUCCGUGCCAGCAGCCGCCGUAA